GCAGCAGGCACGCAAAUUACCCACUCCCGGCACGGGGAGGUAGUGACAAAAAAUAACGAUACGGGACUCUAUUGAGGCCCCGUAAUCGGAAUGAGUACACUUUAAAUCCUUUAACAAGGAUCCAUUGGAGGGCAAGUCUGGUGCCAGCAGCCGCGGUAAUUCCAGCUCCAAUAGCGUAUAUUAAAGUUGUUGCGGUUAAAAAGCUCGUAGUUGGUUCUGCGUGCCGCGCUGUCGGUUCGCCGCCUGUCGGUGUAACUGGCAUGUCGCGGCAUGUCCUGUCGGUGGUGAGCGGGGUCCACGGUACUUCAUAGGCUUCUUUAGCCGAUGUUAGCACCGUGUGUAUUUCCGUUCGCCGAUCUCUCCUACUCCGGUGCUCUUAAACGAGUGUCGAGGUAGGCCGACACGUUCACUUUGAACAAAUUAGAGUGCUUAAAGCAGGCUGAAAUAUCUGCCUGAAUAGUGGUGCAUGGAAUGAUAAAACAGGACCUCAGUUCUAUUUUGUUGGUUUUAGGAAUAUGAGGUAAUGAUCAAUAUGGACUGGCGGGGGCAUUCGUAUUGCGACGUAUGAGGUGAAAUUCUUGGAUCGUCGCAAGACGCACUAGAGCGAAAGCAUUUGCCAAGUAUGUCUUAAUUGAUCAAGAACGAAAGUUAGAGGUUCGAAGGCGAUCAGAUACCGCCCUAGUUCUAACCAUAAACGAUGCCAGCCAGCGAUCCGCCGAUGUUCCUUUAAUGACUCGGCGGGGAGCUUCCACCCGGGAAACCAAAGCUUUUGGGUUCCGGGGGAAGUAUGGUUGCAAAGCUGAAACUUAAAGGAAUUGACGGAAGGGCACCACCAGGAGUGGAGCCUGCGGCUUAAUUUGACUCAACACGGGAAACCUCACCAGGCCAGGACAUUGGAAGGAUUGACAGAUUGAUAGCUCUUUCUUGAUUCAGUGGGUAGUGGUGCAUGGCCGUUC
rnacentral:rRNA from 1 species